GAUCAGGAUUAAGGGCCAGUGAUGAGGACCACAGAUGAGCGAUUAGGAUUAAAGGUCAGUGAUGAGGACUAUAUAUGUGUGAUCAGGAUUAAGGGUCAGUGAUGAGAACCAUAUAUGUGUGAUCAGGAUUAAGGGUCAGUGAUGAGGACCACAGAUGAGUGAUUAGGAUUAAAGGUCAGUGAUGAGGACUAUAUAUGUGUGAUCAGGAUUAAGGGUCAGUGAUGAGGACCAUAUAUGUGUGACCAGGAUUAAAGGUCAAUGAUGAGGACCAAAUAUGUGUGAUCAGGAUUAAGGGUCAGUGAUGAGGACCACAAAUGAGCGAUCAGGAUUAAAGGUCAGUGAUGAGGACCAAAUAUGUGUGAUCAGGAUUAAGGGUCAGUAAUAAGGACAACAUAUGCGCCAUCAGGAUUAAAGGUCAGUGAUGAGGACCAAAUAUGUGUGAUCAGGAUUAAGGGUCAGUAAUGAGAACCAAAUAUGUGUGAUCAGGAUUAAGGGUCAGUGAUGAGAACCAUAUAUGUGUGAUCAGGAUUAAGGGCCAGUGAUGAGGACCACAGAUGAGCGAUUAGGAUUAAAGGUCAGUGAUGAGGACUAUAUAUGUGUGAUCAGGAUUAAGGGUCAGUGAUGAGAACCAUAUAUGUGUGAUCAGGAUUAAGGGUCAGUGAUGAGGACCACAGAUGAGUGAUUAGGAUUAAAGGUCAGUGAUGAGGACUAUAUAUGUGUGAUCAGGAUUAAGGGUCAGUGAUGAGGACCAUAUAUGUGUGAUCAGGAUUAAAGGUCAAUGAUGAGGACCAAAUAUGUGUGAUCAGGAUUAAGGGUCAGUGAUGAGGACCACAUAUGACCGAUCAGGAUUAAAGGUCAAUGAUGAGUACCAUAUAUGUGUGAUAAGGAUUAAGGGUCAGUAAUGAGGACCACAUAUGAGAUAUCAGGAUUAAAGGUCAGUGAUGAGGACAAUAUAUGUGUGAUCAGGAUUAAGGGUCAGUGAUGAGGACCACAUAUGAGCGAUCAGGAUUAAAGGUCAGUGAUGAGGACCAAAUAUGUGUGAUCAGGAUUAAGGGUCAGUGAUGAGGACCACAUAUGUGUGAUCAGGAUUAAGGGUCAGUGAUGAGGACCAAAUAUGUGUGAUCAGGAUUAAGGGUCAGUGAUGAGGACCACAAAUGAGCGAUCAGGAUUAAAGGUCAGUGAUGAGGACCAAAUAUGUGUGAUCAGGAUUAAGGG